GCUGUACCAACAAUGGAAGUGUCAAUAUGAAGCACCCCAACAGUGCUGAUGAAUACAAUGGUGGUCACUUGAAUGUUGGUAUACCAUUUGGAUGCUAUUCAGAGUGGAGCUACUGGGAUUAUGACGAUCUGGAAGCUAAGAAGAAAGAGCUCAGAGCUGUGUUCACGUGGCGUUGAUGAUCCUGAGGUGAAGGAAGUCUCCACGGUCCCUGCGAAUGCAUUCUUGCCGGAGGGCAGCAGAGAGGAGCUUGUGUAUGAGAGCUGAGAGCUG